CAUUGUCCGUCUCUACUACCAAUUGAAUGGUGUAGUGAGGUCUUUGGAUUAGUGUCGUUGUAGUUGCUUCGCCACUCGACUGAUGCUGAGAUGACCCAACUCGACUAUUUAGAGGAAUUAAAAGUCGUAACAAGGUUUCCGUAGGUUCACCUACGGAAG
rnacentral:ncRNA from 1 species